rnacentral:rRNA from 1 species
GAUGAACGCUGGCGGCGUGCCUAAUACAUGCAAGUCGAGCGAACAGAUGAGGAGCUUGCUCCUCUGACGUUAGCGGCGGACGGGUGAGUAACACGUGGAUAACCUACCUAUAAGACUGGGAUAACUUCGGGAAACCGGAGCUAAUACCGGAUAAUAUAUUGAACCGCAUGGUUCAAUAGUGAAAGACGGUUUUGCUGUCACUUAUAGAUGGAUCCGCGCCGCAUUAGCUAGUUGGUAAGGUAACGGCUUACCAAGGCAACGAUGCGUAGCCGACCUGAGAGGGUGAUCGGCCACACUGGAACUGAGACACGGUCCAGACUCCUACGGGAGGCAGCAGUAGGGAAUCUUCCGCAAUGGGCGAAAGCUUGACGGAGCAACGCCGCGUGAGUGAUGAAGGUCUUCGGAUCGUAAAACUCUGUUAUUAGGGAAGAACAAAUGUGUAAGUAACUAUGCGCGUCUUGACGGUACCUAAUCAGAAAGCCACGGCUAACUACGUG